rnacentral:rRNA from 1 species
UGGGGAAUAUUGGACAAUGGGCGAAAGCCUGAUCCAGCCAUGCCGCGUGUGUGAAGAAGGUCUUCGGAUUGUAAAGCACUUUAAGUUGGGAGGAAGGGCAUUAACCUAAUACGUUAGUGUUUUGACGUUACCGAUAGAAUAAGCACCGGCUAACUCUGUGCCAGCAGCCGCGGUAAUACAGAGGGUGCAAGCGUUAAUCGGAAUUACUGGGCGUAAAGCGCGCGUAGGUGGUUUGUUAAGUUGGAUGUGAAAUCCCCGGGCUCAACCUGGGAACUGCAUUCAAAACUGACUGACUAGAGUAUGGUAGAGGGUGGUGGAAUUUCCUGUGUAGCGGUGAAAUGCGUAGAUAUAGGAAGGAACACCAGUGGCGAAGGCGACCACCUGGACUAAUACUGACACUGAGGUGCGAAAGCGUGGGGAGCAAACA